AUGAACAUACCUGCAGUAAAGUGGGAGUUUUUUUACACUUUUCAUCACACUAUGUUUAAUAACAAAGAUGAUAUAGUAUUCUCUUUUCUCACCCCUCUUUGUCAUGUUAAUUUAUAAUUUUCUGACAUUUUUUGGUAGUAGAAAUUUUUUUAAUCCUCAGGGGUCAUUUAUCCGAACAUGUACUUUUUUUUGCUUUCCGUAUCAUCCAACAUUGAUAUAAACUAAAUAAAAUAAUGCUUAG